UUCUGUUAUUUGUGAUGUAGGUCUUACAGACGCCAUCAUGUGCUAUAUAGUCUAUCCUUAAGAGGAUUGUUCUGCUUCUGUUAUUUGUGAUGAAGGUCUUCAGAGAUGCCGUCAUGUGUUAUAUAGUCCUUAAGAGGUAUAUCCUUAAGAGGUUAGCUUGAGACCUUGUUUGUCAAAAGCAUGUUUUAUGACCUUAAAGAGUUGUGAUCUCAAGGUUACCUUGAAAGGGUUGCUUGCACUAAUACUUUCCAGAGGUUGCUGGUGGAAUUACGGUUUCCAAUAGAGUGCAUGCUACAGGCUGCGCGACAACCUUGUCAUGAAGGGCCAACGUCUGCGGUCGUUGCGCCGCCAGCCUCGAAAGCAGCCGUAUCACCGUGGCUUGCGUAUGAAGCUUUGAUAUGAGCUUUUUAAUAAGAGCUUUCUUGCUGCUUGCUGUGUUAGAAGGCGGCUAUGCUCACACAUGGAGUGUGUCAUGUUCACCUCUCACGAGUUUGAUGUACGCGUUGUUGCGCGUGCGGGGAGCUUCACAGCCUACAGUGACGGAGCCAACU
rnacentral:lncRNA from 1 species